UACGUAGGGGGCAAGCGUUGUCCGGAUUUAUUGGGCGUAAAGAGCGUGUAGGCGGCCUGAAAGGUCAGCUGUGAAAACUCGAGGCUCAACCUCGAGACGUCGGUGGAAACCGUUUGGCUAGAGUCCGGAAGAGGAGAGUGGAAUUCCCGGUGUAGCGGUGAAAUGCGCAGAUAUCGGGAAGAACACCCGUGGCGAAGGCGGCUCUCUGGGACGGUACUGACGCUGAGACGCGAAAGCGUGGGGAGCGAACAGG
rnacentral:rRNA from 1 species